UACGGGGGGGGUAAGCGUUGUUCGGAAUUACUGGGCGUAAAGGGCUCGUAGGCGGCCAACUAAGUCGGACGUGAAAUCCCUCAGCUUAACUGGGGAACUGCGUCCGAUACUGGAUGGCUUGGAUUUGGGAGAGGGAUGCGGAAUUCCAGGUGUAGCGGUGAAAUGCGUAGAUAUCUGGAGGAACACCGGUGGCGAAGGCGGCAUCCUGGACCAACAUUGACGCUGAGGCACGAAAGCGUGGGGAGCAAACAGG
rnacentral:rRNA from 1 species